CAGUGAUGGUGUUUGCAGAGAUUGCAGCUGCUAUUUAUCUGCCUGCACACAGAUCACUUCACAGUUCUCCCAGACAGUUUUCAACCACGCAUAGUGGGAGCUGUCCUAUUUUCCUUGUUGUUGUCCUCAUCCUGUGUAUGGGAACUGUUGAAUCAUGGCCUGAACCUCUGAUUGACCACCUGAGGCGAGUGCUGAGUCAGCCGCAGGGGCACAGGUGAAGGCAAUUUCACCUGAGUGACCGGAAGGGGUGGAUCCUGGCUGCACCCCUCCUAGGCCCCAUUAAGGGCUGACUCCCAAGGAGGAUGGGUCUCUAUCUGGAGAUCACUCCUCUUGGAGCCCUUCUGUGAGCCCAGGACACAGGUUUCGUGUUUAUAGAACGAAGAAGGACAUCUUGUAAAGGCGCCUUUUCAUGUGCGGAGAGACCAUAAAAAUAUCAAGACCCCAGAAUGUUAAAGAGAAUCAGGAAUGCACAUGGAAAAUGCUACACUAAUCACUGAAUUUCUGCUCCCAAAGACCUCUGUUUACUGAGCUGCAGCCAGCCCUGAUGAGUUUGGAGUAUGCCAGCAAAAGUGUGCAGGUUCGUUUGCUCAGGUCACCUAUUGGUGCUUCAUGCAUAAUGCAUCCUUCCCUGCCUUUGUGUACGUGGCCACAAGGUGGUGUCAUCAAAGAUCAGAAAGCUGCUGUGGAGUACAUGUUGUGAAGUGUAUGGGAACUGUUGAAUCACGGCCUGAACCUCUGAUUGACCACCUGAGGUGAGUGCUGAGUCAGCCGCAGGGGCACAGGUGAAGGCAAUUUCACCUGAGUGACCAGAAGGGGUGGAUCCUGGCUGCACCCCUCCUAGGCCCCAUUAAGGGCUGACUCCCAAGGAGGAAGGAUCUCUAUCUGGAGAUCACUCCUCUUGGAGCCCUUCUGUGAGCUCAGGACGCAGGACAAACCUAGAGGUUUCAUCCCAAAAGAACAAACUUCUAGCAAAAGGCAUGGAUUAAGGAAAAAAGCUCAGGUUGGCCAGAAAUGGUGGGUGGGGAAGAGGACAUAACAGAACGAAAGCCAAGAAGAAAAUUGCAGCAAAGGGAUGGAGGAGUGCUGCUUAACCGUCUGUCUCCUGAAGUCUUCAGAUGGUGACUAGAUGCCUACAGAUAAGACAUUUUUUUAAUCAAGAAGUUAGAGAACUCCCUAGCAGAAAUGACAUGGAGUGAGUCAUAUGGUAGAUCAGACCAGAUCAUCUAAGAAAAUAUUCAGUCUUUCAAAUAUGCAUCCCUUUGAAUUCAGUUGGCUAAGAUUUCCUCUGCUGGAUAUGUAUGUCAGACUUCUACAAAAUCAACCCCCGCUCAACUACUCUGAGCUGGUAGGCAUCCUAAGUAAUGCUGUUGAAUAAACUGAAGUAAUUUGGGAUACAAUUUGGCAUAAGAGAUCACAAUUACUCUGCUGAGAUUAUUCCAGCAUUACAUCCACUUAUGAAACUACAAAAGAAAUCUGUCCACUGUUCCCAGGGCAGAGUGAAGAAAAUGGGCACCAAUUUAGACUGUCUCUGCCAGGAAACAUAUAAUAAUGCUGUCGUUUCUAAGAAAACUCUGCAGCAGCAGGCUCAGACAGCUACGAAGUAGAGCACAUGCAUGGAUUUGUCAUCCUGCCUUACUCUUAAACAACAUUAGCUUCUUUGUCAAUUGUGAGAAAGUGAGGGAAAACCCCUUGGAGGUGUGCCACACGUUUAUUUGUUCCUGAGCUCUUAUAGCAAUGUUGGCUACAACACAAUCCUUUUUUUAGAAAAGAAAGGUGAUCAUCUGUGCAACUUGUUCUGAAAAGUCAACAGACGUGGCAAGAAAAUGCAUUUCUCAAACACAUGUUGACUUGUGACAUCCAAGGACAGGAUGCUUGUGACCGCACAUAUCCGAUGUUCAUGACAGAUCAUGAGUGCUGCUGCCUGUCCCUUUCAGCUCUGCUUCUGGUAUGAAUAAGUCAUCCAGCAUGGGAGCAUGCAUGGGCUGGAGGUGCUCUGCUACUCCAACAUGGAAUGUUGCAAGCUCCAGCAAUUAGGUCAGCAGAAACAUCCUUUUGUUCUUCUAAAUCAAUGUUAGCAAUGUUUCAAAUUGCCUUCAGAUAAUCCCAUGCUGCCCCAUCACAGCUGCCUUGCUGUUUGCGUUGAUGUUGUUGCUACUCAUGGAGUGUGAGAAUGAGGACAAGGAAUAGUGCUGCUAUAAGCUGUGAUGGCAAAACACAUUUCCCUUUAGAAACAAAUGUCGCAAGUGGUGGAUGAAAUCUAGCAGAGUGACGCACUUCCACAUACAUUAGCACAUACUUUGCCAAAAUAGAACCACUCUGUUUUUUAAGGAGAAUCUCUGCAAGGAUAGGGGGAGAAAUACUCCUCCCUCCUUCCUUUGCGGUGUGUUAAGAAGGCCCCAGAUUUCCCCACUCUCCCAUGUGUUUCUAGAAAUUCAUCUUCUAUGAAAGCUGCAGGAAGUGCUGACUGUCUACUUCCAGUGUGCCUGCCCAAAGGGAGACCUCUCUGCUGGAUCCCAACAAGAGGAGAUGACAAACAAGACAAGCGCAUUUCGUAGCACCCAUGACUCAGAUGGAGCAGAUCAGCUCUUCGGCUAUUGCUUCAUUAACCAAGGCUUGUUUGCUACAGACAUCACCAUCAAGACCUUCCAGAGAUGCCACUGAAAGGCUUCUCAGUGUUGCAGAAAAAGCCACUGUUGCUUCCAAACUGCUAUAGGAACUGACAGGAGCGUUCCAUAUCCAGGUGCUGACUGACCACUGAAGAGCAGUUUGUAUGAAGAGCCUCAAAGGAGCUUCCAAAAGAAACUCAAAAACCUUGAGCUUACAACCUGGAGGAUGUUUGUCUACAUUUGCGAGGUAAAAUGCAGUUAUGCUUCAAAAUAAAGGAAAAUGCUGUGGUCUGUGAGUUAGUUCAUGAAGACCUCGAGUUUACUAUGGUAACUCCUUCUACAUUUUUAAUUAUAUCGCACCCUUAAUAUUUUGAAGAAAAGGAUUAGCAUACAGAGAGCAGAAAACUUUAUGCACUUUCUUCUUUGAAUGCUAAAAACUCUAGAAUUCAUUUCUGUUUCCUGAUAUGCACUUGAGAAAAAAUUGAGAUGACAGCAUGAUGUUUGAUCAUGACUCAUUAAAAUGGUGCCCAGGCUUCCUGCUCCGACACAACAGACAGUUGCGUAGCUGUUUGCAACUUUGACUUAAUAGGAUUUUGCAAUGCAGUUUCACAAUGCCACUUUCUCCCACUUUGCAUUUAAGAAUCCAGUCACUUACUGUUUAAAUAUCCCAAUAAGCUUCUGAGAGGAGACUUUCAGCUCUCCCUGCUUGUAGCUUUUCCUAAUCUUUCACCAUCCGACAUGUCCCCUGUGCCUCGGGCCAAGCGCUCUGAGCAGCACAUCCAUGGACGUUGUUUGAGUUUACGGGAGUUGCACCUCCCAGUAACACAUUCUUAUCCCUUUACAUCACAAAGUGAACCGCCAGCCCCAUUCAAUCAUUGAUAGUCUUUGGUGUCUCUUCAUUGCGCAGUGGUUAUUGCUAUAAACAGUCUUCACCAAAGCUCCCGUGUUUUUCCUGCUCUGCCAUAGAGGAGCCACCAAGGUUCCUGUUUGUCACCAGGUGACCAGCACUGUUUUGGUAAACUGUUCAACCCAUUUGAAGUGCCAUGGAGCCAAAUUGUGGAAAGGGCUUGUUCCAUCUUGCUGGCCUGAGCGCACCCAGCGUGGGGCUGGGAAUACCGGGAACACAAGUGGUUAUGAAAGGAAGAAAAGUGAAAAAAAGGGUUUUACUGAGAAGUAUGAUGUCACCCAGAUCACAGUCUAUUUCUGGAACUAAGCUGUGAAACCCAUGACACAUUUUGACACAUAAAUGUUGCCAAGUAAAACUGAUAAUAUAUAAUUGUUUAAUAGGGUCACAGCCAACUGUUUUCCAGAUAAGGAGCUGAACUCUUCCAUGCAAUAUAGCAUUUGUGGAACGUUACACCUAGUUGGUUCCAUGCUUUCAUUGGCUCUGGGAUUACUUCCUAUCAUAUUUAAAUAAAAAGACUAGAUUAUUGGGUACCAUAAGAACAAUGGAUUGUUUAAUGGUCUUAUGGCACUUAUCUUAAGUCAAUACGAAAGUUUUGAGUUUCUAGGGCUAUGUCAAGGGCAGUGAAACAAGGACUGCAUUCAGUGAAUUACUCAUUUGUUUAUUUUUUAAUGCACAUUUAAGUAUCUCAUUUUGGGGACUCAGAUGUACAUAGAUGAUUCAGUUAAAUGCAGAUUAAUUUACCAAAAAAAAAAAAAAAGAGAAAGAAAUUGUGCUUGUCUGAGAAACAGAAUCUGGUAGAAAAUAUUAUUAUGCUAUUAUGUGCAAUUUGUUCUAGAUAAAAGUAAUGAUCAAACAACUUCCUUGUCUCUUUGCCAUGGUGCAAAUUUCCUGUGAUAGAGGUCUAUUUUGUAUAGAAUUCUUCAUCCAAGCUUUGUUCCUAGAAGCUUGACAGGGAUCCAUAAUGUAAUUACAGUUAUUAGGAGUAAGUAAUACCAGUAAAAAGAGAUGCUAUAGAAGUGUAGAUAUGGAAGGGAAGAGAUAGGUUCUGAUAUGAAACAGAGAGAGACUGUAGCCCAGAAAUGUAUGAAAAUUGCUCAGGACACAGAGGCAAAGAGCAAAGGCCAGGUCUCCAGGUGUGCAAGGAACAAGAGGGGGACCGAAAGGCAAAGCUUGGGCUUCAAUAGCCACGUCAGAGUUUCGGAGAACCAGAAUUCUUAGGCUGUCCUGGAGACUAGAGUCCUAAGUUCUUCUCGUUAUAAGUUUCUUAAUGUCCUUAUUUCUAUCUUUACAGACAGUCAUAUGGUUUUAACUAUAAGGUCAUAAAACCUUACAGUGUUUCCCUUUUAAAACCAAUGCUUUCUAAUCCUUAAUUGCUGAAAUGUGUGAUGAAAACAAAACAAAAUUAUUUUCUUCCUGGAUCUGAUGUGGACUGCUGGAUUAAUUUGCAGCUAUGGCCAUUUUGCUCCCUUAUAGAGAGAAAAAUAGGUUGAUUGUUUCCUUCAAACACAAAAUCACAUUUCUUUAGUGCUGUCCUUUCCCUCUCACUGUGAGAAAGGAGAGAAUGGUUUUCGCCACAAGCACACUGCCCUUCUGCCUUUCAUGGUGUCUGAAAGUCCAUUAACAGUUCAAACCAGAGCAGUUUGUGUUGGUGGUGUUCCCAUUUCCUCAAAAGCAGCUUCUCUGCAAUGACCCCAUCCGUGGAGGCAUUCAAGACCAGGCUGGAUGUGGCUCUGGGCAGCCUGGUCUGGUGGUUGGCAACCCUGCACAUAGCAGGGGGGUUGAAACGAGAUGAUCAUUGUGGUUCCUUUCAACCCAGGCGAUUCUAUGAUUCUAUGGCAUGAGGGCAGCAGUGUGGAAGUGACGCUCUUAUCACUGCAGAGGAGCUUGAGGGUCAUUCCAUGGCCAGGCCCUGGGUGGCCAGCACUGAGCUCCCUUGACUAUACGGGCUUUAGCCAGCUGCUCACUUGGCUUCCAGCACCAACCUGCCGUGCCCAUCCAUCUUCAACCCUCACUGUUGCGGAAAGUGAUCUGAUCUUCACUGGACUGCAUUGCAUGUAGUUAAGGAAAGGACAUAUAAGAAAGAACCACCCAUUCCUCCUUGAGUCCAGUUCUUUCCAUCAGUCUCUCUUCACCAUGCCAGCACUACUUUCUUUUCCCUUGCUUAAUAUACAGUACCGUGCCAUUUCAUUGAACUGGCAGAUAAGCUUGGACUCUGCUGUCCCUCAGCUGCCUGCCUUGAGCCAAAGCUUCCUGCUAUUUUCCUACCAUACACUGAUUUAUCUUUUGCUUUCUCAAGUAACGCUUCCCCAAAGAACAUGUCACGGGCUGAAUGGGAGCAUGGAAGCGGGCUGCCAGAAGGCACUUAUCUAUUGUUCUUCCUUACCCAAGAUGGCAUGUUAAUGCCAAAGGACUCAGUGCAGCUGCCAACUCUGCAUCAGCUGAGUCUUAACCUUUACCAUGCGUACAGCAGCCGUUUGCUGGAGACCAGCUAGCGCCAGAGUGCAGACUUGCCUGCCAAAGCUUGGAUUUCUGUGUAAUUGGUUCCCAUGUCACAGAGCUUACAAGGUCCAAUUACAUCCCCUCACUGUAGCAGGAGCCUUUCACUUGCUGUGGGGCUGAGUUUGAUGACCAUGCAUCUCCUGUUGGAUAGCAGCUAGAGGACCAAGUUCAUCCACCUGCAUCCUUGGGCUUCCUACUACUUGAACACAUGUCUUUGGGUGCCAAGCCCAUCGCAAAAGUAGAAGCUAAGCCAGAGGAAUGCAGAUCUUAUUAAAUGGAGAAGGGGGUGGUCAUUUGGAAAGCUUAGAAAUGUAGAGAAAUAGGUGUGUUUCUUGGUGGAGAAGGUUUGAUGGUGGGCAUCGCAGCUAAUGUUGCAAUGUAGAGAUGGAAAAUCUGUGUGUAUAUCCUGAAUAUCAACUCUUCAUUCUAGCUGUGGGAAUCAUUACACUUGUGGAAACAGGUGGUUGUUUGCUGCAGUGCUCAUAGAAGGGCUCUCUCCCCUACGAGAACCCCAGAUUGCUGUGAGAAAGCUGUUUGUACAUAAGUAACUGAUAUGCAUUUUUCAGAUUCCUAAUGUCUAUGAAGCUUCAAUUACCCAGUAAAGAACCAAAAUAAACCCCCCCAAAACGGUAUCAUGUGACCAAUUCAUUUAAGAAACUGCAUGUCCCCUCAACACUUGAGGAUCUGUAUGUAGCUAGCCCUACUAUGCCUGUUUUUCUCUCAUUUCUGGCCUCUCUAUACAGAUGGGGACCUUAGAAAUGAAAAGAUUGAAUGUCUUAUGACAGGCAAGCAAGGAGUCUGUGGCUGAAUCAUGGAGAAAACUCAAAUGUCCUGAGGAAUAAACACUCUGAGCAAUUUCUAGGUGACAGAAAACCAACUAGGAAAAAGCCCAGCAGGCCACAGAAAAUCAGAGAUAAGGGAAACAUCUGAAGGACUGGUGUAAAGCUACUCUGAAGCUGCCUCUCUGUGUGAUUAAGCAACUCCAAUUAGCAGCAGUGUCACAAACAGAACGCAUGAGGGCAUUUCUGCCAUUCCUGAGCCCUCAGCAAUCCGCUUGCUUUGGUAUUCUACGAUAGUCCCACCUCUCUUGGAGCCACGUGCAAAGCUCACAGACAUCAGCAGGAAUUGGAGCUGUUCUUAUUUCGCUUGUGAGCGCACUUGAGCCAUAAACAGAAUCGUGCUGGCUCGGUGUUUCAGCAAGUCCUGGUCUUACCUCGAUUCCUUGACCUGAAUCAUGACACAUGACAGCGAUAGCCAGGAUAUGUUCAUAAAACAGCCCUGGGACAGUCAGCUGUCCUUAUUCCAAAAUAAGGGCUGGAAAUUCAGCAGCAAGCCCUGAUUCAGGAAAGACUGCUUUCUCUUGGAUUUCCUUGCAUGCCAGGAACAAACUGAAAAGCCAGG
ensembl:lncRNA